CUUCUGUAAUACUUUCUCCUUCUCCGCUCUUUCCUUCUCUGCUCUUUCCUCUUUUCUUCCGAGCGAAAAUCUCUCCCUGCAAUAACAUCGGCGUCUUCUCCGCGACAGUGGAAAUCUCUCCCGUGGUAACGUUGGCGUCUUCUACGGCCUUAUCAACGACAACGGAAAAUUCUCAAGGGCUAUUAAAAGGGGAUCUCAGGCAACUAUGAAGAACAAGAAAGAAAAGAAAAACAAGAUCAAAGUUUCGUAGUAAACUUUGGUGCCGGCUUUCUCGGGGGGUUCUCACCGCUAGGCGUAGUUGCAUCAAAUCGUCUUUGCGAAGGCGGCGACUAUUGUUCUAGGGAAGUGAUCACACAAUUACCCCUUCUCAGGCCUGCAUUUUCUAACCCUCUUUCGAAAUUUUUUGAUUAUUUGCAGUGUGUUUUCUAACAUGUAGAUGCGUGGAUGUGUAUUUUUCCUUCGAUUCAUCCUUGUCUAGCUUUUUCUUAUAGCCUUCCUCUCUUUUUUAAGAAGUAAUGAAUAUUUCUUUAACUAUGUAACUUAUCAUCUGUAGAAGAUUCCAAAGUGUCGUAAACUGCUGGCUGUUGGUGUAGUGAGCGAGCACAUUUACUGUUAGUAGAAAUUUCAUGAAUAAUUUUGCUAGCUGCUAAUUUCUUUUUAUUGCCUUAAUUUGGUACCAUCUUUCACUUUACGUACUAUAUGAUCGUAUAUAGAUUAUUAUGCUAACUAUUGCUUUUUUAUGCCUUCAAGAAGAUUUCUUGCAUUUUCCACUGAUUUCAGGCUCCUGGUCGUUGCUAACUUGUUUACAUCGUAUGACUGAGAAGCUGUUUCCAACGCACAUAAUGAAAUUAAACCGGAGGAAGCUUCUAACACUAACUUGCUGAUUACUCAGUAGAGUGUUUCCACGUUACAGUCUUGGCGUAUAGAUAUUAGUAUUGCUGUUUUUUUCACCUGAUUUUGAUUAGACGAGCAGAAAGAGACAAACACCCGAUUCUUCAUGCUUCUACAAAAAAGUUGGAUAUCAUUCGACAAGUACCAUUGCUAACUUAAAUUGUUAAAGAUGUGAACCUGCGUUAAUUUGUUUAUAACAGAAUAUAAUCUUCAUACUUCCCAACUCAAGCUUUGUUACAAAUAAUGGAUACAUCUCUUGUUAAGAUUGUUGGAUGCUAUUUGUUACAUAAUGUCAAAUUUUCUUUCAAGAUUA